rnacentral:lncRNA from 1 species
CAAGAGGCAGUAUCCUUGAGCUCGGCUCUGAUCAAGGAGUGUUCCACUGACUGACCUCUUUUUGUUUUCAAAUGAAGAGGAGCCAAGAAUAGGACAGCUUGGGAAGGUGAGCUGCGUAUAGCUCGUCAGGCUGAGCUCAUCCUCGUCUACGGCCAAACGUUGGUUUCUCAUUUCUAGAAGAUGAAAGAUGUGAUGACUCAGGAAAAACUUGCUGCUCGAGAUGUGAGUCUUCAGAUGUUCCUGCCGCCAUAUCUGACAGCUGCUGCCAAGAUUCCCUGGUGGGAUGGACUCUUAUACCUCAACAACCAGAAGCCCAAGUAAACUCUUCUAUAAAUUGAAUGACUCAUGCUUAAAAAAAAAAACAAAAAACAAACUAUCUUUAUUUUGUGUGCAUUGGUGUUUUGCCUACAUAUAUGUCUGUGUGAGAGUGUCAGAUUCCUUGGAACUGUAGCUACAGAUAGUUGUGAGCCACCAUGUGGGUGCUGGGACUUGAACCCCAGUCCUCUAGAAGAGCAGCUGGUAGGUACUCUUAACCACUGGACCAUCCCUCUAGACCCUGAUCAUGGUGUUUUAACUACAGCAAAAGAAAAGUAAUUAGCACAAUCAGGUUAGCCAGAGGGCACACCUGUGACAGAUUUUUC